CGGAUAAGCUGGUCACCCACUGGUGACCGAGGGGGUGUCCAUUGCUGGGGACUCCUUCAGAAAUAAAAGAAGGCCAGGCGCCGCAGGAAAGUCAUUAAAGAGUGGGCUUUUCCUGUGAAGAACACGGACGGAGCUGCAGGACGUGGCGGGACCUCCGGAUCCUCGGGAGGAGCGCAGCCCUUUCAACCAAAGUGUCACAACAAUAGGAAGGGCCUAGAGGUCAAACUGCGGUGUGGAAGGUCAGGAGGACACCGGGCACCUGCCAGGGACACUGCAAACCGGAGCCUAACCCAGCAACACA